AAAUUCUGUUAUUAGAAAAAAGCGAAAGUAAAACGGAAGACUCUUCCGAAGACGUUAAAAAUACGCCACUUUUUACAACUCACAGUGAAAGUAAAGUUCCGGAGAGUACAGCAAACAUAGAAACCAAAGCAAACUUAUAUAAUAACGAAAGUAAAACUUCGAACGAUGAAAAUAACUGCAAUACUAAAAGUUUUAUAGACCCUUUAAAAAGUGACCAGUGGAGUUGUGAUCAAUGCGCUGCUCUUAACCCAACAACUUCUUUGAUUUGUCAAUCUUGUAGAACUGAGCGUUUCCCUUCCAAUAAGAUUAAUGAUACGCAUGGUGAUUCUGGACAAACCAAAGACGCAGAAAAUAACUUGUUCGCCCGGCGGUCAAACCCCCCGUCGCCCGUCGUAGUUCCAGAAAAAAUUGAAACUCCGACUCCUCCACCAUUUGUGUUUGGACAACCGCCACCACACCUUUUUUCUGGCACUUUUGUUGUUUUCUGUGUAUUUUCUUUAGUCAUUCAUGCAUUUUAGAAACUGCUACCAAUCAGAAUAAAGGAUUUUCUUUUGGAUCGACGUCUGUUCCGUUCCGCUUCGACUUCUCCUCCAGUAGCUCGCCGGCCCCGGCUCCCCAACCUUUUUCGGGACCAUCAGUCGGCUAUAGUUUUCAAGGGGCGUCCAGCUCUUCAUUCUCCACUAAAGACGCACCAUCAGCCUCAUCUUCUUUCUUAUUUGACGCCCGGCCUUUCUCGUCCGAGUCUUCUACUGAAAGCGGUGCUUUUAAAGCCGAUAACGGUGUUAACUUUUCAACGAAUGCGGGAGCCCCGCCUUCUAUCGGAUUCUCGUUUACGGGCGGCGAUUCUUCUGUCGGUUCUAUUGACGGAACAUCGCCCGGUUUUAAUUUUACUGGCGGUAGCGCCCCAACUGGCUUUUCCUUUGGCUCAACUAACGAUCAAGCAAAUGCUCCCGUUCAAUUUGGAAAUUCGGCAGGGGAAACUGGAUUUGGCCACGUGAGCGCGCGACAAUUGGAGAGGCAGUUAAGGCGCACAAGGCGUUAAAUGAGUAUUUUUUUGUACUAGAAA